UCCGUAGGUGAACCUGCGGAAGGAUCAUUAAACAUAUUACGGGGGGUCGGUCACCCAGAGCGUCGCCUCUUAAGCAACCUCUGGGCUCCUGCCCUGUCUGAAUAUUCUACCCAUGUCUUUUGCGCACUCUUCGUUUCCUCGGUGGGCUUGCCUGCCGAUAGGACACUAUAAAACCUUUUUGUAAUUGCAAUCAGCGUCAGAAAAACUUUUAAUAGUUACAACUUUCAACAACGGAUCUCUUGGUUCUGGCAUCGAUGAAGAACGCAGCAAAAUGCGAUAAGUAGUGUGAAUUGCAGAAUUCAGUGAAUCAUCGAAUCUUUGAACGCACAUUGCGCCCCUUGGUAUUCCAUGGGGCAUGCCUGUUCGAGCGUCAUUUGUACCCUCAAGCUCUGCUUGGUGUUGGGUGUUUGUCUCGCGUUUUCCGCGUGGACUCGCCUUAAAGCCAUUGGCAGCCGGCACAUUGGCCUUGGAGCGCAGCACAUUUUGCGCACCUAGUCAGUAGUGGUUGGCGUCCAUUAAGCCUAUACAUUUGCUCUUGACCUCGGAUCAGGUAGGGAUACCCGCUGAACUUAAGCAUAUCAAUAAGCGGAGGA
rnacentral:rRNA from 1 species